rnacentral:tRNA from 1 species
GAGGGUAUAGCUCAGUGGAGAGCACAUGCUUAGCAUGCACAGUGUCCUGGGUUCAAUCCCCAGCACCUCCA